UAUACUUGGGGUUGGAAAGAGUGUGUUCCAUCGGGGAAGGUUUUCGGCGAUUCUUCUUCUGAAGGAAGCUCAGAGAAGGAUGCACUUGAAAAGCAAAGUUAUCUGUUUCCAAAACAAGCCCUCAAGGGUCAAAAAAUGCCAAUGGUAUUGGGUCAGGAACCGUCUUAGAAAACAAAGGAGCAGGAUAAAAAACCACGAAACAAAGACGGGUUUCAUCAUCUAAACAAACUAUUGAAAGCUCCACAGCUAGUGAUGAAACAUUCACAGCAGUACCCUGUCUAGUAACACUUAACCCUGGAGUAAGGAUAUCAACUGUUGCUGCUAGGGGAAGACAUACUCUUGUUUUGUCAGAACAUUUUCACAGGUUAAUGCUACAACAACUGAAGAACUGAUAAAUCUACACAUAUCCUCAAGCAUAUUCUUCAUUCCCUUUUCCAUCUACACAUUGAAUCAGUGUCUAUGCUUAUGGAUCCUGGAGGGUUUUCCUUUUUAAAUGUAGUUUCCUCCAUUAGAUGCUUGAUGCCUAAGGAGCCAAUUGCUAGGUCUUCAGAACUUUAGGUAAUCAUGUUGUUUAUUGCUUUGAAACUUGGGAUGUUGAACUUAAGUUGCAAUCAAAUUAUGCAGAUUAUACGAGCAUACUAGUAUGAACAAGGAAUUAGUUAAAUCAGCUUGAGUACCUUUAGUUUUAAUCAAUAGAUUAACUGCGGAGAAAAAAAUGCAAUAAAAAAGACAGCUGAAAGCUGAAAUUAGGGGAUAAAAAUACAAUAUAUUAUGCACUUAUCUGAGCAGAAUGCUUGUUUUUCUUUUCUUAUUGUCUUUAUGCUUCUGUAGACAACAAACUUGUGUGUUAUAGUUUUAUGCCCUAACAAAUUCUUUAAUUUUAUGUAUGAUAACUAGAGUUAGUAGAUCCCUGCAUAAAGCUUAAGAUUAUAAACGCUUCACAUGCAUAAGAAAAAGGUGCGGAUGCACUGACUGGAUAAAGAUGAGAACCCAAUGUCGGAGCCUGCCCGCAUUUCUCAAGACUGGGGCAGGAGUUGGGACAAAUGGCCUAACAACAGGUUGAUCACUGAAAUGGAGAAAAGUUUGGCUAAAAUGAAAACAAAAAAAAUCAGCAUCAUUAGAUUUAAGAAAAUACAGAUAUGGAUCUAAUGCCACCAUCUAAGCAGCCAGACCAGAAUAACCAAAUAGUUAAUAGUGUAAAAGAAGAUAAUUUCCACAAUCAAAUGGUCAGUUGGUUGGUUGUAAUAUCACUGCAUCUUAAGACAGUGGCCUAAGUCCAUCCUUUUGCUGACUCUGUUAUUAUUAGUGGUGCAGUAGUUGGCUAGCUUCUUGCAGUUCAUGAUGCACUGGAAUACAGGACUCCUAGUAUGGUUCAAUACCUUUAGAUAGGCUUUCAGCAGGUACACCAUAAUCUUCCACUUAAUGAUGCACUGGAAUAUAGGACUCUUGGUAUGGUUCAAAACCUUCAGUUAUAGGCUUUCAGCAUGUUUCGACUUUUGUAUAACAGUUUUGCACCGACUGUGCUUUUGACGAACAUGUUUAGUCAGUUACUAUCUGGAAAAAAAAUGUAAAUUUGGUUUCAUCAUGAAUUUCUAAUUUGUUGUAAGUUGUCAUGAUAUAUUGCCUACUUGAUAUUAGCUGCUGCAAGCUUGAUAUGGUGUUAAAAACUUAAUCUGGUCAUCCAUUAACCUCUCGAUUUUGUCUUAACUUAUUGAAAUCAAUCACGAGUCAGUCCAACAUGACAAUUUUGAUUAGAGUUCUUGAUAUGAUAUGGUCCCAUGUGGAUACAACAAUCUGUUUUUUCCCCUCAAACUCUUUUCCAUUUGGAAUUUUCUCAUUUGAGGAUCUUGUUUUCCUUAAAAGUGUAGUGGUUUAACGAAGUCGAACUACAAGGAAUUGAACAUUUUGUAUAGGAAGUACAAGGACCAAGGCUUUGAAAUGUUAGCCUUCCCAUGUAGCCAGUUUGGAUGGAAAGAACCAGGAAGUAAUGAAGAAAUCAACGAAGCAGUCUGUUCUUCUUUUAAAGUAAAAUUCCCUUUAUUUCAGAAGAUAGAUGUCAACAAGGAGAGUGCAGCACCACUUUUACAAGUUUUUUAAGUCAAAGAAAUAUUAGAUGAGAUCAAAUGAAACUUUUCGAAGUUUUUGUUGGACAAACAAGGAAAUGUUGUUGAGAGAUAUGCUCCUGUGACCUCCCCCUUGAAAAUUGAGUGCGAUGUAAUUCGAGAGACAGCAAAGCAGGAGUUCGAUGCAGAGGAGCCAAUACUCGUUUUGAAUGAGGCUACUAUUGAUCGAGGGAUAUCCGGCCUCAUACCUCACAAACCUAGAGUGCUACUGUGAUAACACUUUUGUGACGUGUUCAAGCAGACGGAUUAAUUUCAUCCACCACGUCUGGAAGCAUUGCAUAUUCAUUGGCAGUUGGAGGAUCGAUGGUCCAUCCACAGGUUUGAUCUAACAAACUAAAACUACUCUACACUCUGCUUCUUUUUGUGUAAACAUGAUGCUCGUAAUGUGUGAAUCUACGUUUAUUUAGUUGUCUGUUUUUAGGGAAACAACGAAUGUGCUUUUUCAGUUCUUAUGUUACUCGAACUCGGACACCCAUAUUGUACGUGAGUACAUGUCUAAGUUCUGAUAUUCCUCAAGUGGGACACUGAUUCCCAGACUGUUCGUAUAUAUUGACCAAGCCAAAUUCAGAUUCUGUUAAACUUCUAUGCUCUGAACUGGUCAGAUUAAUGAUGAUUCAGGUGGCAAAGGUAACAAUUAGAUCAAGGUAUUGAAGCUCCGAUCUCAAUCACGGGGAUUUAGGAACGAAUAUUUUUUUUAAUGUUAAAGGGACGAAAGAAGUUGUUUUUAUUUCUAGUGUGAUUUUCUAAGACAAAAAUUUGAUGUAUGGAUAUAUAAUAUAGGAUCCUACAGUUAUUUUGGUAUGUUCUUAACUAGUUUGAUUAUUGGACAGUGCAAAUACGCACAUGGAUAUUUUUUAAUUAAAAUUAAAUAUGUGAUUACAAGUAAGUUUGAUUAUUGGACAUUGCAAA